GGGGAAGAGGAAGGCGCCGCUAAGCCACCCACUAGGAAGCGGAUGGACAAGCUCGAUAUGGUCUUUUCCUGUCCAUUCUGCAAUCAUGGGAGCAGCGUUGAAUGCCGGAUUGAUACGAAAAACAUAAUUGGUGAGGCUAAUUGUCCAAAUCAUACAUAA
rnacentral:rRNA from 1 species